UACGGGGGGAGCAAGCGUUGUUCGGAUUUACUGGGCGUAAAGGGCGCGUAGGCGGCGUAACAAGUCACUUGUGAAAUCUCCGGGCUUAACCCGGAGCGGCCAAGUGAUACUGUUGUGCUAGAGUGCGGAAGGGGCUACUGGAAUUCUCGGUGUAGCGGUGAAAUGCGUAGAUAUCGAGAGGAACACCUGCGGCGAAGGCGGGUCUG
rnacentral:rRNA from 1 species